GUUGGAGUGCCAGGCACCCUCACCACACACAGAGAGGCACUCGGCGGUGCCUGCCUUGUGUACACCUUUCUCUCACCUCGGGCAGUCCGCCUCUCUCUCUCUCACCUCCCCGUGGGUGUCCAGUGCUCUAGUGUGCCGCUUCACCAGACGUGAGGAGCCAUCACCAUGGAUCCCGAAGCCUUCCUGGAGAUGGCCAACCAGGUCACCAAACUCAAGAUGUAUCCUUACUUCGAUAUCGCUCACUGCACCCUCUGCUGCCUCUACGUCAGGGAGGACCUUGGCACCGGUUCUCUUCCUUUCUCCCGCAAACACCCCCUGGCAAACUGGCUGUCCUGCAUGAUCACCAUCUUCGCGGGCGGCCUACUGGCAAACUUCUUGCUCGGGGAACCUAUCCUCGGUGCUCUGAAGAACAACCAGCAACUCCUCCUGGCCACAGCUGUUUGGUAUGUCAUUUUUUACUCUCCCUUUGAUGUGGGCUACAAAAUUGCCAAGUUUCUCCCAGUUAAGGUUCUGCUAUCUGCCAUGAAGGAGGUGUAUAGAGUAAAGAAGAUCAAUGAUGGCGUGGCCCAUGCAGCAAAGGUGUUCCCUAAUGGUUACCUCAGUAUGAUACUCAUUGGCACCCUCAAGGGUAAUGGUUCUGGCUUCCUGAAGAUUAUGGAACGGUUGAUGCGUGGCGUCUGGACACCCGCGGCAGUCGAAGUUAUGCAGCCUACCUUCCCCACCAAGGCAUCCAUUGCUGCUGCUCUCAUCUUUGUUGUGGACAAGAAAACCGAUCUCAUCUCUGCUCCCCAUGCUCUUGUCUAUUUUGGCAUUUGUAUCUUCUUUGUCUACUUCAAGCUGUCGUCCCUUCUGCUUGGAAUCCACGACCCAUUUGUGCCAUUCGAGAACCUGUUCUGUGCCAUAUUUUUGGGCGGCAUCUGGGAUUCACUGGCCCAUACUCUUGCUGGUAGGAAGGGAGCUGCUGCGGAGAAAGGCACAGAGGCUGUUAAAAAUGGUAAUGGUAAAAAGAAAAAUGAUUAAAGCAGCAGUGUGUGGCUUGUGAGUGUUACCACUAACAGAGAGACAAUUAACCUGUUGAUAAAUUCUUCACGACUUCUAGUACUGUGAUCAAGACAUGCAUUGGUAUAGUUUGUUCUGGCUCAGGGUUUGACAUCGGAGUGUGUAAAUUGAUGGUAACGUAAUUGGGGAAAACCUAUGCCACCUGUGCUAAUGGCAGUGAUUGUGCUUGUAGUAAUGCACCUCUUGCUCAGAUCUUCCCCUUUUGUACAGAAAGUUGGGUAAAUUUUUAUGUAAUACGCUUUUUAGUUACAAAAGUGGGGAUAAGUAUCCAGAAUAUAGGUACACAUCAUAUUUGAGGUAUAUACAUGCUAUUGGCAUCAAAAUAAAUCCUGUCCAUUUUGUAUACUGUGUCGUUUUAUGAUCUAAAUAUUCACUGUUGUCUAGUACAGUGAUGUAAAAAAAGGAAACCAUACUUUUCAAGUAGCAGUAGCCAAAGGUUAAUAAAAGAAUUGUUAUUAUAUGUUAGUAAACAAUGUUCAGGAGGAAAAGGUUUACAUGUGUAUAUCAUUUUAUAUAACAUUAAGGGAACUGCAGAGAAAUACAUUUUUCUGUUCAACAUUAGCACCCGAGUGAUGAUGGUAAAAUAUAUUUCAUACAAAUUUUUGUAAUCCUUAUCAAAACCAUUUGCUUACAGUAACUAAAGCAAAAAAAUCUUUGUACCAAAGUACUAUAAACUUUAUAUAUAUAUAGACUAGAUAAUAUAUUCUUGGUAAUGAAGAAUUAAAGAUGUACAAAGAAAUUUAAACUGAAUAUUAAUUCACGGAUUUUAUAGACUUGAUAAAAGCUUUUUUUUAUUACAUUUUAGUAAUUCUUACAUAAAAGUGACACAAAGGGUUGUGUUUGUGAAGUUGAAACAAUUUACACUUUAGAUUUUUUCUGGUAUCUUAAUUCCUGUUUUCAGUAUCUAAAAAGUCUUCCUUCUAGAUAGUCCAUACUGUGACUAUUUUAGCAUCCAGUUUCAGUGCUCCCUCUAGUCAUGUUUAUAUGUGCUGGUGAAGGAUUAUUGUUGCUGCUGCUGCUGCUCUUUGUUGGCCUGUAGUGUUAGUGAGAUCAUGUUCUUGCUGGCAUACAGUGUUUGCAAGAUCAUGUUCCUAUUGUAACACGUCGAUGCAGCAGGUAGCUGUAACAUUUAGCAGUCUUUUCUCACCACAAAAUGUUUUUGGUUUGACAUUACCCAGGUAAAGUUAGUUUUAACCUAUGUCUCCAGUGUUAAUUUCAUUUUUUUGUAAUAGCUGAGGUCAUGCGACAGCCGGGCUGUUAAGACAAAACCAGUAAAAUUGUGAUACAGUUGCUCUGAUAAACUGUUUUGUAAAGUAGCCAGCUGCUAUAUUAGAUUAAUAUUAACCUGUGUAGCAGCCGGCUGCAGUAUUAGAUGUAACGUGUAAUAUAGCAGGUGGCGUGCUUAAAUGCAUACUGGAGGUUUUAACAAAUUAUCUCGCAGGGCAUGUGGUUCUGUGAGAGAACCCGGCCAUUUUUUGUAAGCAUAUGCUUGAGCAAGCACUUGUGGCUUUUUUUUUUUUUUUUUGAGUGGCUGACUGCUAUAUAGCCAAUCUGAUUUUGUAAAACUACAUGUAUCCAAAGACAUCUUGAGAAUUCUGUGUUCUCCAAUUUUUAAAUACUGUAUGUGCAAUAAGGAUUCAAGGGACUAAUGAUAGUAUUGCCGAUAUAGUCAUUAAACUACAGGUACAAGUGUUCCUAUAGUGUGAACUAGUAUACAACAACUUCACACCACAAGGCCUGGUGGUAUUUAAACUUCUGUUGUGGUGACUUAAGAGAAACUUAAAAUAAUAAAUUUUUGCAGAAAAUAAAAAUGUAAGACCCU